rnacentral:misc_RNA from 1 species
GAUGAAGGACGUAGCGAAAUGCGAUAAGUAAUGUGAAUUGCAGAAUUCAGUGAAUCAUCGAAUCUUUGAACGCACAUUGCGCCCGCCAGUAUUCUGGCGGGCAUGCCUGUUCGAGCGUCAUUACAACCCUCAGGCCCCCGGGCCUGGCGUUGGGGAUCGGCGGAGCCCCCCGUGGGCACACGCCGUCCCCCAAAUGCAGUGGCGGUCCCGCCGCAGCUUCCACCGCGUAGUAGCUAACACCUCGCGACUGGAGAGCGGCGCGGCCACGCCGUAAAACACCCAACUCUUCUGAAGUUGACCUCGAAUCAGGUAGGAAUACCCGCUGAACUUAAGCAUAUCAAUAAGCGGAGGA